AUCUAACGGAGGACAUGACACAAAUGAGCGCAAUGGCGUUCUAGGAUUCAUAUAGCCGACCCUACUUAGUGGGAAAAGGCUUUGUUGUUGUUGUUGUUGUGAUAUAUGUUGGUAAGAAAUAUGGCUUGGCUAUUUGUUUCUGAAAUGUUAUAUAAUUAGGAUUUCUAUGUUUGACCUAAUAGUCGGUUAAAGGGGUUUUAGCUGCUGUGGUGGUCGUAACUGGGUCUUUACCUGUAGCUGAUGAUGCUCUGCAUGUGAUUUGGACGGACAUGUCGUUCCUUAUGAACCUGAAUGGGUUUGUAGUUGCUGUGAUGGUAGAAAUUGAACUGGUGUUUCCCUGUAGCCUGAUGAUGCACAUGAGUUGGACCUGUGAUUUAGUUACCGUGCUGCGGAUGCCCAGUAUGAUACUCUCUCUGAAACCUUGUAUGUUGGGCUCCACUUUGCAGUCACAGUAAUGAGACACGAAUCUUGUGUGGGUUCGUGAACAACUGAAGUUGUAGCGAAUAACCACCUGCUGCGGUGUUGCUGCCAUUUCAUGAUGGGAUCCGGUAGGCUAUGACCAGUUGGGGCCCUGAGAAUGGCUGCUUGGCUAUCUACACUCUUUAUAAAUGAUAUUAUCUACACUACGGAAGAGGGUGACGGGAACUUCACAACAGUAAUAAUGUAGUUCAAAUUCGCCAUUAACGAGAUUGGAGGAAUACCAAGAGACUGUAGAACGAAGUUGUGGAAGUUCACAUUAUUUCGUCAACGAGUUUCAUCCAUUUUAAGAGCACAGGAGAUUGUUUUGGUAGGCUAUCAGGUAUCCUUUAGAAAAGGCUCUGUUAACGCUCGAGCUAUUGUAAAGACCAAAGGCGUAUUCAUUCGUACUUGAUCGGGAUGGUGCUGACCUGAUAUACAUGCGUUUGGAUGGAAAAGUUGAGGGAUGAAAGUGAGUUUAACGGGGAAAAUUGAGUAGCUCAGAGAGGUCAACUAAAAGCAUACGGGUUCUCAUAUCUGAGCUGCCCAACUCGCCCCGUUCAGCGAGCAGCACAAGCAUUAAGUGGAGUGGAAAUCUCCAGACUAAUAACAGCAACGCUAUUUACUAAACUUGGGUUUAAAGCAUUAAGUCGAGAGGACAAUGCAAAAGCUGAGGAAUGAAUAAUCAGGAAAAGCUUUAAUCACAACCCUAAUAAUUUCCACAUUCGCAUAAAAUUGUACUUGAAAACAUAACAUAUAUCAUAAGACAAAAAUCCAAGCAGUCUCUACUGCGGCACAUCAAAGUCGCUCAAAAA